rnacentral:rRNA from 1 species
GACUACACGGGUAUCUAAGCCCGUUCGCUCCCCUAGCUUUCGCCUCUCAGCGUCAGGUACAGGCCAGGAAGCCGCCUUCGCCACUGGUGUUCCUCCUAGUAUCUAUGCAUUCCACCGCUACACUAGGAAUUCCGCUUCCCUCUCCUGCCCUCAAGUAACCUAGUUUUGGCCGACCCCUCCCAGUUAAGCCAGGAGAUUUUACGACCAACUUUGGCUACCGCCUACUUGCCCUUUACGCCCAGUGAAUCCGGAUAACGCUCGCCUCCUACGUUUUACCGCGGCUGCUGGCACGUAGUUAGCCGAGGCUUAUUCCUGAGGUACCGUCCUUCCUCUUCCCCCAGAAAAGGGCUUUACAACCCGAAGGCCGUCUUCGCCCACGCGGCGUUGCUGCAUCAGGGUUUCCCCCAUUGUGCAAUAUUCCUUACUGCAGCCCCCCGUAGG